GACAGAGGCCUCGAGCGUUAGGCGGAAUCACUGGGCUUAAAGCGUGUGUAGGCGGAUGCCUAAGUACCUUGUGAAAUCCCCACGGCUCACCCGUGGAACCGCUGGGUAUACUGGGCAUCUUGGGCCAUUCAGGGGCAACUGGAACAAGCGGUGGAGCGGUGAAAUGCGUAGAUAUCAGGAGGAACACCAAUGGCGAAGGCAGCUCGCUGGGACGGUACUGACGCUGAGGCGCGAAAGCGUGGGGAGCAAACAGG
rnacentral:rRNA from 1 species